rnacentral:tRNA from 1 species
AUGCAGCUUAGUGGUAGAGUGCUUGCCUAGUAUGCAAGAAACCCUGGGUUUAAUACCCAGCAU